GCGAUCUCAAGCUGAUCUGGGCCCAUCAGAUAUCUCGUCAUGCUCCCAGGACUGGGUUAAUGACAGCAGCGUGGCCUACUUCUUCUCCAAUGAGGAAGGAAACUGGAGCUCCAGUCAAAGCCACUGUUCUUCCUGCGGUGGUUCACUGGUGGCAAUUGAAAACACACAGGAAAUGGAGUUCAUAAUGAAAAACAAACCCCCGGCAGAAUUUUGGCUGGGUCUCCAGCGGGAGGGAGUGCAGCAGCCAUGGAAAAGACUGAAUGGCACAGUCUUCAACAACUGGUAUCCCAUUCAGGGAAAAGGGCUCUGUGCCUACCUCAACGUCCAAGAGGUCAGGUCCACUUGGUGUACAAGCAAUCGAUACUGGAUUUGUAAGAAGAUUCUACAUGGCUCUUAAAAUUAAUUCUGGACACUCACAAUAACCUGAGACAAAUCUUUGAAGUGACAUCUUGGGUCCCUUUUCUGAGCAUGAGCAGUGAAUUUUUGUGCAAAUAUGCAGGCAAUGCACAGAUGGAAAAGCGCAUAUCAGAUCUCAGAGAGAGAAAGCAUCGUUCUAUCUGUUCUAUCAGCUCCUUCUGUAAGUUACAUUAGAAAAUGGAAUGUUGAUUUAGAGAAAUAGGGGUGUAUUAACAAUUGUACAGCACCUAGUCUUGUUCAUAGAAAUGUACAAAUAAAUGUUUGUUUCAGUGGUAUCCACUAGGGAUGGGCACAGACCACUCAGGAACUCAAGUUUGUAAUAAAUUUUGGUCGGCCUCCUUUAGUGAUGCCACAAGGCCCAGAGGUCACUGGUGCAAAGGGUAAUGGAAAUUAGUCCCCUCCCCAUCAUCCCUCUGGUCUCAUCACAGCAAGGAGAUAUGGGGCUACUUUCACCCCUUGUGAAGGGAGGGGGCCGAGGGAGUGCCAGUGGUUAGGUGCUCUUGUGAAUUUGGAGUCAUAGUCCUGUGAAGAGGUUGUGGCCUUGGCCUCCAUGGGCACCCCUCCCCCCUGCCCCAGAUGCAAACAAUUUAUAUUAGCAAGCAUAUUAACAAUAGGAUUUCUCCAUUUAACUGGCAUGCCUCACAAGUUGUGGCUCCUUAAGGGAGGCUAUGAGAACUCUGAUUUUCCCUCUCCUAAAAAGCAAUCGUGUGACACUGUGUGCAACUUGAAUUCUCCACACCCCUAAAAUUCUUCCAUACAGCCUGGGAGAAAGAAAAAUGCCCCCUCCUGAAUUUUCCCACUCAGCUUUACGAUAGAUGACACAUCUCCCGGUCAGCUAAUAAACAGGCACUAGAAGUGUUUAGAGCCAGGUGAAUAGGCAGCUGCUCAUAGGGUUGCCAGGUCCUUCCAAGUCCCUGGCGGGGGACUUUGGGGGG